ACGGCCUGGAUUCCUCUCCUCCUCAUGUCCCUCUCUCACUGCACAGUUUCCCUCUCCAGCCUGUGCUGACUCAGCUGCCCUCCCUCUCUGCAACCCCGGUAGCAUCUGCCAGACUCCCCUGCACCCUGAGCAGUGGCUUCAAUGUUGGUGACUAUGGGAUACACUGGAGAUGGCAGAAGCCAGGGAGCCCUCUCCAGCAUCUCCUGAGCUACCACUGGCAUUCAAAUAAGCACCAGGGCUCCAGCGUCCCCAGCCGCUUCUUUGGAACCAAAGAUGCCCCUGAAAAUGCAGGGAUUCUUUACAUCUCUGGGCCCAGCUAGAGAACAAGGCUAUUACUGUAUGCCUGGACCAGUGAUGCUUCUCACAGCGACACAGGCAGGCGGGGAAGUGGGACAAA
rnacentral:lncRNA from 1 species